UACGUAGGGUGCAAGCGUUGUCCGGAAUUAUUGGGCGUAAAGAGCUCGUAGGCGGUUUGUCGCGUCUGCUGUGAAAACCCGAGGCUCAACCUCGGGGCCUGCAGUGGGGUACGGGCAGACUAGAGUGCGGUAGGGGGAGAUUGGAAUUCCUGGUGUAGCGGUGGAAUCGCAGAUAUCAGGAGGAACACCAAUGGCGAAGGAGAUCUCUGGGCCUAACUGACGCUGAGGAGCGAAAGCAUGGGGGAGCAACAG
rnacentral:rRNA from 1 species